rnacentral:rRNA from 1 species
UACGUAGGGUGCGAGCGUUGUCCGGAAUUAUUGGGCGUAAAGGGCUCGUAGGCGGUUCGUCACGUCGGGAGUGAAAACUCGGAGCUUAACCCCGAGCCUGCAGUGGAUACGGGCAGACUAGAGGUAGGUAGGGGAGAAUGGAAUUCCCAGUGUAGCGGUGAAAUGCGCAGAUAUCGGGAGGAACACCGGUGGCGAAGGCGGUUCUCUGGGCCUUACCUGACGCUGAGGAGCGAAAGCGUGGGGAGCGAACAGG